rnacentral:rRNA from 1 species
UACAGAGGUCUCAAGCGUUGUUCGGAUUCAUUGGGCGUAAAGGGUGCGUAGGUGGCGAGGCAAGUCAGAUGUGAAAUCCCGGGGCUCGACCCCGGAACUGCAUUUGAAACUGCCUUGCUCGAGUACUGGAGAGGAGACUGGAAUUUACGGUGUAGCAGUGAAAUGCGUAGAUAUCGUAAGGAAGACCAGUGGCGAAGGCGAGUCUCUGGACAGUUACUGACACUGAGGCACGAAGGCCAGGGGAGCAAACGGG